rnacentral:rRNA from 1 species
GACGGGACCCGCACAAGCGGUGGAUGAUGUGGUUUAAUUCGAUGCAACGCGAAAAACCUUACCCACCUUUGACAUGGCAGGAAUCCUAAAGAGAUUUGGGAGUGCUCGAAAGAGAACCUGCACACAGGUGCUGCAUGGCUGUCGUCAGCUCGUGUCGUGAGAUGUUGGGUUAAGUCCCGCAACGAGCGCAACCCUUGCCAUUAGUUGCUACGAAAGGGCACUCUAAUGGGACUGCCGGUGACAAACCGGAGGAAGGUGGGGAUGACGUCAAGUCCUCAUGGCCCUUAUAGGUGGGGCUACACACGUCAUACAAUGGCCGGUACAGAGGGUAGCCAACCCGCGAGGGGGAGCCAAUCCCACAAAGCCGGUCGUAGUCCGGAUCGCAGUCUGCAACUCGACUGCGUGAAGUCGGAAUCGCUAGUAAUCGCGGAUCAGCAUGUCGCGGUGAAUACGUUCCCGGGUCUU